GUGUGCUUCAUGCCAUAAGCGUAGAUUAAAGAGUCCUGUCCCCACAGUUACCACCUGAUUCUGCUCAGACUUAUUUUCCUGGAGACAUUACAAAUGUUUGUCACCUUGAAACAGAUGCUUCAUUUAGUCUCCCUGGCAGGAGUCAUUCCCAUCGCUGAGAGGGUUUCCCAUGCAUAUAUAUGCAAUACUGCACCUUCCGUCUGCUGAGCUCAAAAUAUUCUACUGACAUUAAUUACAGCCUCACAACCCUCCAGCAGGCGAGAUAGAUGUUCCUCUGCCUAUCUCCCUCUGUGGAUCGCUCUGGAGUUCUGGCGGCGGAGAGGGGUCCUGACGUCUAGAAUGAGGCAGCACUGCUCAUGCCUGGAGGCAGAAACAAAGGUCAGAGAAUGCCCUGCAACGUGUGUGGUGCUAGCUUUGGAGAACAAUCCAUCCAGCAGACACGGCUGCAGCAGUUGAGUGAAACAAUCUACGCUUCCUUAAAUUAUCCAGACUCCUCUUGACUAACCCUCCCAGCUUCUGCAAGUGCCAUGUAGGACCACUACCAGGUACUGCAGCUCCUCCAGAUGAGCCAACGUCUGACACAGGAAGCUAGCACAAGAGGAUCUGCAGGACAGAAGAGUUUCAACAGUGGCAGAAUCAUUCACAGACUUAUUCAGCAAACCUGGAGAUGGAAAGGAGGAGAGAACUGAGGUUUAGUCUGGAAUGACUGUAGAGAGAAGGUGAGCAUGUGCACUAAAAGCUGAUUGGCAGCUGAAGCCACAAACAGGCUAGGGUCUCCCUGCAGAGUGAAGAUCACAUCUAUGGCUCCUAUGUCAAAGGAAAAACAACAACAACAAAGCCAUGACACUCAAAGAAACAAGAGGUUUGUUGCAGCUUGGAGAAUUCAUUGCAAUCCAAUCAUGUAUCAUCUGACUUCUGAGUAACUCUCACAAAUUAAAAUGUAACGUUUAAAAUGAAAAGAAAAACUUAAUGUUACACAUGAACAGACUGAGAAAAGGCAGUCUAUCCAUCAUUGACCAUAUGGGGGGAAAAAGGAAAUAAAAAUGACAAUGGCUGGUGUUGUAAAAUGUCUAUUUUCCACCUGUAAGAUUAUAGGGGCUGUGAUAGGCAGCUUAUACUCUCCCGCCGACAUAGCGCAGUGCACACUACCACUUAUGCCAUUCAGGAUGUGUUACUGUGGUUUACAGAGAAUGAAUAGAAUCUUCAGGGUGUAGGAACUGACAGCUGGAGGAGGCUGUUAGUUUAGACUGAUAAACUGAUCUGAGUUAAGAUGUUCUGUAUAUGUUAACAGUCUUUAUUAGAUACCUAGUUAAGUUACCAGCCAUUAAAGACUAGUGGAUUAUUUGAAUAUAAAAUACAAAUAGGACUGCCCACAUUGAGUAAAAUCUACAAGCCCAAUUAAAAGUGCAUGGGAACGAAACCUGGGUUAAUUUCCCUAGAGUACAAUAAUCCUGAACUAUUUCCAAUAGACUGCAAAUAAGAAUUUUGGCGGCUUUCUAAUGCACUAUUUUUACUUUGCCUAUUGGGUGUGUGUUUCU